UCCCACUGUGGGGUUACAUCCUGCUUGUUGCACUUUGGUUUGUAGUGCUUCUGUAACUACAGCCACCCAAUGUCCAGCAUCCCAAUUUCCACAUUGGUUGGUUGGUUUGAAGUGAAAAUUAGUUCAGAAUUGAAGUUAUGAAGAGGAUUAGUUCUGGGAACUGCCUGUGCUGUAUUGGAAGUGUCACAAACUGUAGGUCCUGUAUGAUAAAUAUCAUAGGGUUUUAUGAACAUCUCUUCCCUCCCCUGGUACUCCAGGAAGGGAGCCAGGUCACUGCAGAUUUGAGUCAAAUCUGCUAGUCACUGAUAAGUCUGGCUGACUCUGUGACUAUAGGUAUUGUAAAACACCAUUAUUACAGAGUGAUAAAGAACUCCCUGAGUUUCUCUACAUCAUCACUGAAACCGAGAGAUUUCAUUGCUCAUAACCCUGCCUGCCCCAGGACAUGUCAUUUCUGAAUUAAACUGACACUGUGACUUACCUGUAACAACAGCCAGUGCUGCACAAAGCAGUGAACAGGCAUCUUCACAGUCAGCUCACCCACAGGUUCCCUCUGCCCACAGGUUCCCUUACUCACCUUAACUGCUUUGAUUUUAAAGACAGAGUUGCAGAAAGUGGAGUGUGUGCGUUCACCAUUACUGUGGAUGAGCUACUGCAAGAACCCAUGUGUGGUAUAUCCUUGGAGAAAUUACUGCCUGUGGUGUUUAAAAACUAAUUCCCUGAAAAAAAAACCAAAAACAAACCCAUUCUCAGAUACUUCCAGUCAGGGUUUAACAUAAAUGCACUAAGUAAUCUCAGACUUUUCUAACCUCAGUGUUGAGAGGCAGCUGUCAUGGCUUUAUUUAUGAGUUACAGGGAUUUUAAUAGAAGUGAUAACUGCCAUUUGAAAAAAAAAAUGUGGUGUUAAUAUUGCCUAAAUGUUUUUUCUUGAAGUAUGCAAUGAAGAAUUAAACACUCUUUCUUAAUGCUACUUUAUGCUUUAGAAAAGUGGACCUUAGCCCCCAGAUCAUUUUCCUGGCUAAAUGAACACACCAGGUCUCUGGAAUGGUCAGUUUUCUUUUAAAAAACAGCCAACCACACACCCAGUAUAUGUGGGGAAAACAUUUUAAAUUAACAAAUCGUUUGUGGAGUUUGCUUUUGGGAUGUUAGUUUUGAAGAAAACAACUUAUUUACACACCCUGGAGGUGGAGCUGCCUUUCCUUGCAAAGGAUAAAAGGAGAACAUCUUGGGUUUUGUCAUCACUGCCCUUCUGUGGAAGGAAAGGGAAGCUCCUGGUGGCUUCCAUGUGCUCCACUUCUUACUGGUGUGACCUACUGAUGCACAUGGGACUGACUUUUGGGGGUCCCUGGCUCUCACUGCCACUUGGGAAUUUGGGUUUUUUACCAUCUGCUUCUGUUUGUAAGAACCUAGAAACGUCAGACUGAAAUUUCCAGUGUCCUGUAGUACUUUCCUACUUUGGACUUGUAUCCUUGCUUUGGCUGAACUUAAAACAUCCAUCUGUGGGUUUCUGAGGGUGAUUUUAGUGUUUGGGGUAUUUGGGGCUACAUCAGAGACUUUUAUACUUGACAUCCUGUUCUUCCUGAAUUCCUGAACUCUUGGGCUCAUGUUUAAGUCACUGUAGAUAAGCUCUUAGUUUUCUGUUUUACUUUUGCAUGACUGCCUUGCUGUAGUGAACGUGCAUUAACUUUUCCAACCUCUCUCCUUUUC